CCUACGGGUGGCAGCAGUGAGGAAUCUUGGUCAAUGGUCGGGAGACUGAACCAGCCAAGCCGCGUGAGGGAGGAAGGUACAGAGUAUCGUAAACCUCUUUUGUCAGGGAACAAAGGCGGGGACGUGUCCCCGGAUGAGUGUAUCUGAAGAACAAGCAUCGGCUAACUCCGUGCCAGCAGCCGCGGUAAUACGGAGGAUGCGAGCGUUAUCCGGUUUUAGUGGGUUUAAAGGGUGCGCAGGCGGUCUGUUAAGUCAGCGGUGAAAGCCCGAGGCUCAACCCCGGCCCGCCGUUGAAACUGGCAGUCUCGAGUUGGAGAGAAGUAUGCGGAAUGCGCGGUGUAGCGGUGAAAUGCAUAGGUAUCGCGCAGAACUCCGAUUGCGAAGGCAGCAUGCCGGCUCCACACUGACGCUGAGGCACGAAAGCGUGGGUAUCGAACAGGAUUAGAUACCCGAGUAGUC
rnacentral:rRNA from 1 species